UACGAAGGGGGCUAGCGUUGCUCGGAAUCACUGGGCGUAAAGGGUGCGUAGGCGGGUCUUAAGUCAGGGGUGAAAUCCUGGAGCUCAACUCCAGAACUGCCUUUGAUACUGAAGAUCUUGAGUUCGGGAGAGGUGAGUGGAACUGCGAGUGUAGAGGUGAAAUUCGUAGAUAUUCGCAAGAACACCAGUGGCGAAGGCGGCUCACUGGCCCGAUACCUGACGCUGAUGCACGAAAGCGUGGGGAGCAAACAGG
rnacentral:rRNA from 1 species